GUUUCGAUUUACUUUUGUAAGUCUUUAUAAGUCGAUUUAGGAUUUUAGGGAUUGUUCAUCAUCUGUAUUACGAUUUUGAUUCAGGUAUUAGGAUUUUAGGGUUUGUUUAUAAUGUUGGAGUUUUAACUAAACUCAAACUACAAAGUCCGACAGGGUCUUAGGACUAAGUCGUGGAUUAAUGGUGUGCAAGUACUGCACCCAUCUAUUAAUGUUUACCGAGUAGUUUUUAGUAGGUAACUAUUAGUCCUAGUCUUUAGGAGUUUACGAGUCAUGGUUGUAAUGCCUAUUAACUAGGAGUUGGUUGUGCCAUCGUGCAGUAUUUAGUGGAGUUCAGUAGAAAAAAUCUUGUAUAUUGCAGCCUAUAUAAAGGCAUCGUUUACAUUAAUGAAAUUGCCAAGUAAGUUUACACAAUGUAGUCUCUCUGUGUUUUCGUUUCAAUCCCCUCUACUCUCUCUCUAUGCCAAAUCCUACAUUUGGUAUCAGAGCUAGGGUAGAGGGAGAGUUGUUAGAGUGAAAGGGAGGUAGAAAACUUGAGAGAAAAGAGUAAGAGAAAUCAGAUGAGUUUUUUUAAGGAUUUCAAAGUUUUUCUAAGUGUUUCUUGACAAUGUAAAAGUGAAAGUAAAUACUAGAUCAGUGUUUUAUGCUAGUAUGUUCUUGUCAUGGGUGAUGAUAGUAGCAACUAUCAGUGAUCUCAAGAGAGGUUUUCGUGCAGCCCAUGACCACCCUUGAUGAUAUGGAGUUCUUUCUUUUGAGAUUCAAAGAGGAUUGAUAUCUCAUCAAAGGUGAUGUUGCAGACUCGCCAAAUGAAGCUGCGUUGUGCUUUGAUGUAGGAAGAAAUCAAAGUCAGGAGAACAUCCAUGGAAAUAUCUGAAGGUACUGCUGUUACGUACUGUGAAGGGUUUGGUUCAAAUCUCAUAUUCAGUAAUCCUUUAUUUUCAUUUCUAACGUUCGUCACGUCCCUUGAUGGUGUUGUUAGUAGAAGGUUUAGUUUUGUAAUUAAACUUGUUUUUUUUAUGGAGAAAUCCUUGGUUUGCAAAGAUCUGCUCAUGGGUUUGUUUUAAAACCUGUUAAUGAAUGUUCAAUUGCAAGAACACCGUACAGUAGAAACUAUUUAUAAAGUUUCUCGGAAGUGUUUGAUGAAAAGUCCGAGAAAGAAAGGAUUGCAUGUUUUCUGUUGUUGAUUGUUAUCCUAUAGGAAGUCAUUGCGUUUGAUUGUUUGAAGUUUCUCCUCAAAGAAGUUCUGGUGUGACACAUGCUUGGAAGAUCGUUGGAUGAAAUUCCUACGGAUAUUAGGAUGUUUGGUUUCAAGUAGUCAGGGAACAAGCAGAAAGAAAGAGCCGCAACUCUUGCUUGUUGACGAUGACAGUGGAUACGAAGGUAUCAAGGGAUGGCCGGGAGGUUAGAAAAUCCCUGUUGUGGAGUUAAUACUCCAUGGAUGAAACCAGCUGGACGGUUAAGCAUUCUACCAUAUGCAUCGUGGGACAUCUAAGUAAAAGUCCGUUGAUAUGGAGUUUGAGACUUCAUUAAUGAAUCCUAACGUAAAGCAGUUGAGCAAGCCUGACAGUUGUGAGUGUUUUGAAAUUUGUGGUUGGAGUUCUUUGCUUAGGGAUUUAGAAGUGAGAAAACAAACUUGUGGUUAUGCAUACGGUGGUGUUCAAAUUAAUUGGUGUGACCAUAUUCAUGGGAUUGUGAAUUAUAUAUUUAUUUGGUUCAUGGUGCUGACGGUAAUAUGAAGAUGUGUUCAGUUGAAUGAAUAUCCUCUUGGCAAGUACGGAGUAGUAGCAAGAGGGUGUUUACGGGUCUCCUUCACAGGGUGGUGAUGUUCCGUAGCAGACACUAUAAGUGUAUCUGAUCUUUUGUGCAAGUUUUGUACACCGAAGUUGAACAUUUCAGUUGUGGUUUCUCGCAUGUGUGUAAUGAUCAAUUUUAUUUCUUUUCUUGUUCAUGAUAGAUGGAUUAAACGCAGACCCAGCAGCGGUCUGAUGCGGUACUGCAGAUCCAAUUGUGUUUAAGUUUGUCUUGCAAAAGUUUUGUGAGUCGUUGGUGAAAGACGGGGUGUUGAAGCUUGUUUAAGAAACUGUUUGGGAUCUAUGUAAUAGGUUUGGCUUGUGAGGCGCAUAUUGUUUGAUCAGCAGUAUCAGUAUGUCUCUUGGUAGAGAGUUAGAAGCCCAUAUUACAGCCAGAUGUAACAGUGAACAAGUUCAACCAGGUACUCGUCGUUAUUCGAGGUGUUGAAAUUGACUUAGGAUACUAUUCAGAAUCUAUGAUAUAGAUUCUGUUUCUAUGGGGCAUACAGUUUGAUCCUCAGUAUCAGUAUGUCUUUCAGGUGGAGUUUAAAGCUCGGUUGAAGCCAGAAGUGAUAGUCAAGCAAUAUCAACCAGAUUCUCGAAGGUUCUUUUGCAGUUUGUAGUUUGAGUUUAAGGGAGGAUGUUGGAGUUUUAACUAAACUCAAACUACAAAGUCCGACAGGGUCUUAGGACUAAGUCGUGGGUUAAUGGUGUGCAAGUACUGCACCCAUCUAUUAAUGUUUACCGAGUAGUUUUUAGUAGGUAACUAUUAGUCCUAGUCUUUAGGAGUUUAUGAGUCAUGGUUGUAAUGCCUAUUAACUAGGAGUUGGUUGUGUCAUCGAGCAGCAUUUAGUGGAGUUCAGUAGAACAAAUCUUGUAUAUUGCAACCUAUAUAAAGGCAUUGUUUACAUUAAUGAAAUUGUCAAGUAAGUUUACACAAUGUAGUCUCUCUGUGUUUUCGUUGCAAUCCUCUCUACUCUCUCUCUAUGCCAAAUCCUACAUAUAAUAUAUAAAUCGAUUCAGUUUGCUCAACUUUGUUUGUUAGAUUCAGGUAUUCGGGUUUAUAUGUUGUUCUAUGAUAUCCAAAUCUAAGUCUUUUAGUUCUAUAGAGAAAUAGAAGCAAUAGCAGCAGCAGAGAAAGAUUGGAUGUGGGUCGUAUGCAAACAAGACUAAUUGAUUAAGCUGCUAUUAUAUUUCAUGAAGGAUUUCUGGAUGAUCAGUUUACUCAGCUACAACAGCUACAAGAUGUGAGUAAACCAGAUAUUGUAUUUGAAGUUGUUUCUCAUUUCUUUGAGGAUUCUGAGAAACUUCUCAAUGAAUUAGCCACAACUCAGAGUGAACAAUGAGCAUAUUUCAAAAAGAUUGGUGCCCAUGUUCAUCAACUUAAGGGCAGUAGUUCUAGAAAUCGAAGAAGUGAGAGCAAACAUGAAAUGUAUGUGCCCUCGUUGCAUAGGAAACAAAGGAAUCAGGCCAUAUUCUAUAUGUAAUAGUUCACUCUGCUUAAAGAAAAAAAAUAUGGCCCAACUGGAAUAGCCAUUUUUGAAGAUCGAGAAAUGGUUUAACCAACUGACGAUGAGACGCACUAAUCUAACUUACGCUCUAAAGUUUGCAAUUUGGGGAGCUUGUCUCCGUAAAGGUUUGCUUCCUUUAAAGGACAGCUUUCCACUACCAGAUAUACGAAGCUGCAGCAGGAAAUGAUAGAUUAUCAUUGAUGGAUGGAUAUAAAGGGUACAACCAAAUACCUUUAUCUGAAGAAGAUCAAGAGCAUACUGCUUUUUUCGCACCAAGAGGAUUAUACUGUUAUACAAAAAUGCCUUUCGGUCUGAAAAAUGGAGGAGCGACAUAUCAAAGAAUUGUAAAAAAGGUAUUCGCAAAGUGGAUACACACAACACUAGAUGUUUAUGUUGAUGAUAUGUUGGUAAAGAGUAAAAAAGCUGAAGAUCAUGUGGACAAUCUCCGAGAAAUAUUUGAGCAGAUGCGACAGUUUAACAUUAAGAUAAAUCCAGAAAAAUACAUUUUCGGAGUUGCAUCAGGAAAGUUCUUAGGAUAUAUGUAGUUGCAGGAAAUCCUACACUACAUCCCUCGUAUGAUUUUAUGAUUAAUCAACUCAUUUUAGGUUUAAACUUUUUAUUUUAUUGAACAAUUUUUG